GAUGAACGCUGGCGGCGUGCCUAAUACAUGCAAGUCGAGCGAACAGACGAGGAGCUUGCUCCCCUGACGUUAGCGGCGGACGGGUGAGUAACACGUGGAUAACCUAACUAUAAGACUGGGAUAACUUCGGGAAACCGGAGCUAAUACCGGAUAAUAUAUUGAACCGCAUUGUUCAAUAGUUAAAGAAGGUUUUUCUGUCACUUAUAGAUGGAUCCGCGCCGCAUUAGUUAGUAGGUAAGGUAACGGCUUACCAACGCGACGACGCGUAGCCGCCCUGAGAGGGUGAUCGGACACACGGUCAGUGAGAAAGGGUACAGACUCCGACAGGAGGCAGCAGUAGAGAAUCUUACGCAAAGGACGAGAGGCGAACAGUGCAACGCCGCGGGAGUGAUGAACGUCUAAGGAUGGUAGAACGCUGUUGUUAGGGAAGAACAAAUGUGUAAGUACCUAUGAAGGUAUUGACAGUACCGAAUCAGAAAGCCACGGCUAACUACGUG
rnacentral:rRNA from 1 species